GUCGAGAAUCUUUAGCAAUGGGCGAAAGCCUGACUAUGCGACGCCGCGUGAGCGAUGAAGGUCUUCGGAUCGUAAAGCUCUGUCACAUCGGAUGAAUGUCCGGUGGUCUAAUAAGCCGCCGGAUUGACAGUACGGUGAGAGGAAGCCACGGCUAACUCCGUGCCAGCAGCCGCGGUAAUACGGAGGUGGCAAGCGUUGUUCGGAUUCAUUGGGUGUAAAGGGUGUGUAGGUGUUCCGGUAAGUAGGGUGUGAAAUCCUUCAGCUCAACUGAAGAACUGCGCCCUAAACUCCCGGAAUUGAGUGCAUGAGAGGAGAGGGGAAUUCUUGGUGUAAGAGUGAAAUCUGUAGAUAUCAAGAAGAACACCGGUGGCGAAGGCGCCUCUCUGGCAUGCAACUGACACUGAAACACGAAAGCAUGGGGAGCAAACAGGAUUAGAAACCCCAGUAGUCC
rnacentral:rRNA from 1 species